rnacentral:rRNA from 1 species
AUACGGAGGAUGCGAGCGUUAUCCGGAUUUAUUGGGUUUAAAGGGUGCGUAGGCGGAAGGUUAAGCGUGAGGUGAAAUGCUGCUGCUCAACAGCAGAACUGCCUCGCGAACUGGUCUUCUGGAAUGCCCCUGCCGUGGGAGGAAUGUGUGGUGUAGCGGUGAAAUGCAUAGAGAUCACACAGAACACCGAUUGCGAAGGCAUCUCACGAAGGGGUGAUUGACGCUGAGGCACGAAAGCGUGGGGAUCAAACAGGAUUAGAUACCCUGGCAGUCCACGCAGUAAACGAUGAUAACUAACCGCUGGUCCUUUUGUGGUUCAGUGGCCAAGCGAAAGCGAUAAGUUAUCCACCUGGGGAGUACGACCGCAAGGUUGAAACUCAAAUGAAUUGACGGGG